AGUCGAGCGGUAACAGUGGGAAGCUUGCUUCUCGCUGACGAGCGGCGGACGGGUGAGUAAUGUAUGGGGAUCCUGCCCAAAAACUGGAUACUUCCGGAAAACCAGGGCUAAUUCCGAUAAACAUUCUGGACCGAAUGGGGCGAACUUCGAUCCUUGCUUUAUCUGAUGAAUCCGUAUGGAAUUACGUCGCAUGAGAUAGAUGGUGACACCUCGGCUACCCUCCGUAACUGUGCUGAGACGACCAGAAACCACGAUGGGACUGACACACACUGAAAACUCCUCCAGACUCCUACGGGGGGGAGUAUUGCGCAAUGUUCCCAAGUGUGAUGAAGUCUGACCGCGUGUAUCCACAUGGGCGUAGGAUGGUUACGGACUUUCAAACUGGAGGAAGGCGUUGAUGCUAAUAUUUCGAGCGAUGACGUACCGACAGACAGAAGCCACCGUCUAAUUCCGUGCCAGCAGGCCGCGGUUAUUCGGAAGUGUGCCAAGCGUUAAUUCGGAAUUACUGGGGUCGUAAAGCCGCACGCAGGCGGUUGAUUAAAGUUAGGAUGUGAAAUCCCCCGGGGCUUACCCUGGGAAUGGCAUGUAAGACUGGUCAGCUAGAGUCUUGUAGGAGGGGGGGUAGAAUUCCCAUGUGUAGCGGUGAAAUGCGUAGAGAUGUGGAAGGACUCCCGGUGGGCGAAGGGCGGCUCCCUGGACAAAGACUGACGCUCAGGUGCGAAAGCGUGGGGAGCAAACAGGAUUAGAUACCCUGGUAGUCCACGCUGUAAACGAUGUCGAUUUGAAGGUUGUUCCCUUGAGGAGUGGCUUUCGGAGCUAACGCGUUAAAUCGUCCGCCUGGGGAGUACGGCCGCAAGGUUAAAACUCAAAUGAAUUGACGGGGGCCCGCACAAGCGGUGGAGCAUGUGGUUUAAUUCGAUGCAACGCGAAGAACCUUACCUACUCUUGACAUCCAGAGAACUUAGCAGAGAUGCUUUGGUGCCUUCGGGAACUCUGAGACAGGUGCUGCAUGGCUGUCGUCAGCUCGUGUUGUGAAAUGUUGGGUUAAGUCCCGCAACGAGCGCAACCCUUAUCCUUUGUUGCCAGCGAUUCGGUCGGGAACUCAAAGGAGACUGCCGGUGAUAAACCGGAGGAAGGUGGGGAUGACGUCAAGUCAUCAUGGCCCUUACGAGUAGGGCUACACACGUGCUACAAUGGCGUAUACAAAGAGAAGCGACCUCGCGAGAGCAAGCGGAACUCAUAAAGUGCGUCGUAGUCCGGAUUGGAGUCUGCAACUCGACUCCAUGAAGUCGGAAUCGCUAGUAAUCGUAGAUCAGAAUGCUACGGUGAAUACGUUCCCGGCCCUUGUACACCCCGCCCGUCCCACCAUGGAAUUGGGUUCCAAAAGAAGUAGGGAGGUUACCCUUCGGGAGGGCGCUUCCCACGGUGGGAUUCAUGACUGGGGGAAGUCGUA
rnacentral:rRNA from 1 species